rnacentral:rRNA from 1 species
UACGUAGGGGGCAAGCGUUGUCCGGAUUUAUUGGGCGUAAAGAGCGUGUAGGCGGCUAUUUAAGUCCUGCGUGAAAUCCUGCGGCUCAACCGCAGACGGUCGUGGGAAACUGGAUGGCUAGAGUGCGGGAGAGGAGAGUGGAAUUCCCGGUGUAGCGGUGAAAUGCGCAGAUAUCGGGAAGAACACCCGUGGCGAAGGCGGCUCUCUGGACCGGAACUGACGCUGAUGCGCGAAAGCGUGGGGAGCAAACGGG